CAAGAAAACGAGGGCCGCGUGCGCUCGCCCGCCCGGCCCCGCUCCUUACCUUGCCUACUGCACCCGUUUUGUUUGCUUCCUGGCGGCGGGACUGCCCGCCGCCAGGGGACGUUGAUACAAUCCUGUAUAGAAAGCAUUGAAGCUCUGAGAAAAACGCGAAAAUCGUA
rnacentral:misc_RNA from 1 species